GGCACUACGUGGUUAAUUUAAUGCAAGCUUUAAUAACAACAAUGAAUGAAGGCAAUCGAUUUAUAACUUAUGUAUUUCUAGCUCAUGGAUCUAACAUCCUAACUACAUAGACUAAGCAAGCCGACUAGUCAGCAAAGAAACACAUAGAUCAAUAAAGAAAGCAUGGAAUACAAUUGCAAUAGAUAAUAAGAAAUAGGGUUCAAGGAAUUUUUCUCUAAAUCGAGAGAGUGGUCUUUUUCCUUACAAGGUAUCGAGUAGCAAAUCGCAACAAUGGAAAAUUCAAGAGUCUGGUUUCUUUAAAAAAUUAGCAUAGAAAACAAAGGAGAAGAGAAAAAGAAUAUAUAUUAGAGUCGCUGGCAGCGGCUCAGAGGAAAAUAUGGGAUCAGUAGGAUAAAUCCUAAAAUAUCUUGAAAGUUUACAUAAAAAUCUCCAGCGACGGAGCAACUGCUCCAGGUAUAAUCAUCCACUUUGGUACUCUUUUCGGCUGCUCUGCAUGAAAAUUUCUAAUUUGUACUCUUUUCCGCAUGCACCAUUCCAAAAGCCUCUCAACCUACUGAGGACCUGAAAUGAUUCGUAAAGGAUUAGAAUGAUUCGAUAAAGACUUGAAAACACUUUAGAAAACAUAUAUUUAAUGUGUCAAAACAUAAUAUAAAAAGACAUAGAAGGAUAUGGUGGUUGAGAUGAAGAAAUAAAUCAGGUCAUGAAAAAAAUUUAGUCAAGAAGUAUGUCAAAGAAUGCAUUAGAGUAUGAUGCAGUACUCUUAAGUAAUAUAUUCCGCUGCCACACAUAAUGUAUCAUGAUUACACAUGAGCAGACAAGUGUGUCUAUAAAGUAAGUUUUGACAUCUAAGUUAUGUUUUAACUUGCAUGUUCUUGAUUGUAUAAUAUUUCAUCUGAAUGCUUGAUUUAUGGAUUUAUUUUGUUUAUUUAUAUUUGUAUGUGUAUUAUGGUAUGUUGCUAAGAGUUUGUUUGUCCGACUUCUAUUAGUUGUUAAUAGAUUCCAAAUCCGACAUAUUAUUUUAGCUAUUGGAAUGAUGUUUGUAGUGUUAACCACAUAACACGUAAUAGUUUAGGAAUGUUAUCAUGUGAAUCUCGAUAUAUUAUUUUUGUCCAGAUUUAUAGCUAUACGGUGGUCUAUCUUGCGGACGUGACAAUUAUUAUUAUUUUUUUGAUUAAUCAGGAGGUGAUCCGGCGGUCGUGGCUAACUGACUAAUCCCUCUGAGCCUGGAACCAGCCUGCGUCUGUACCUUCAAGGGGCCUAAGUUAUUCCAUGACCAGAGCGUAUUAAACCCGGAUUCGUAUUGGAGCUUUUUGCUCCUUCAAGACCACUAGGUCAAUUUGAGCUGGUUAAAAUAAGUGAAAAAGGAAAAAAACGUGACAAUUAUUUUUCCUUUUUAAAAUCUACCUGAACCCAUAGUCAUUACUGAUCAUCGCGGGUGUGAUGAUAAUUUUCCAUCCACUAGAUGUCAUUUUACAUAUUAAUUUUUAUGUUUUAUACAGUAUUUUGUAAGACUUUACACACAUGUAUGCUCUUUGGCUAUAAUUAUCAUAAACUGUCAACUAAAACUUUAUAUAGUUCUUGAAUUUUCACACAUUCUAACAACUUUAUUAUUAUACAUGAGGUUUCUUGCUCUACCGACCCUCUUUCACCAUAAGCAUGCCCCAUAAUAUAUAUAUAUAUAUAUAUAUAAACGAUAAAUCUUUUAAAUAGAUUUUUAAAAAAUUAUCUACUAAAUAGCGAUUAAAAAAAUUAAAUGAUCAAAAUAUGUUUUAUUAGAAAGGCAAUGAUAAUUUUAUCUAUAUUUUUAUUUUUAUUUUAAUUAUUAAGGAAAAUCUUAUGAUUAUUUAGGAAAGUCUUUCUAAACUCAAGUUUAAGAAGAUGUCAUAUAGAUUCAAGGUCCUUAUAAUUUUUUAUAAAGAAAAAUCAUUUCGAACCAAAAUCAAAAAUAAAUUUUGAAGAGAAAAUUUUGUAAAAGAAUAAAAUUUCUAAAACAAAAUUCAAACUUUUGUUGAAAAUAAAAUUUUACAUUUUUAUAGAUUAUUUAAAUAUUUAUGUAUCUAUAGAAAAUGGAUAUAAACUUAUUUUUGUUGUUUUGAUCAUUGAGUUCUAGUUUGAGAAUAGUAAUUUGUUUUCAGGCUGAGGCCAUUUUUAAUAUAAAAAAUAGGAUAAUGAUUAAAUAUUUCUAAGAAAAUUAACUCAUUGGCUGUCCCAGGUGAAUCACCGAUGGUUACACUUUUUCUUACUCGCUUUGAGUUGUUCGUCAUUAUUUUAUUGAAAUACCAAAAAAAGUCAAUAAAAAGAGCCCAAAAGGGAAACUAAAUAAUUAAUUUAUCACUUAUCAAGAUAAGAAAAGAAGGCCACUCCUUUGACACCCGCAUUAAAAUGUAUAUCAUGAUAAGUUGAUAACAAUGGCAAGUUUGUAUUCGUUGUACACAAAAAACUCAAACUUACCCGAAAAAAUUAUUAAACUAACUACAAUAUGAACAUGAAAAGUAUAGCACAAAGGCACUUUCAAAGUUCUAACUUCCUUUGGAACUCUUUUAUUUAAUAAUUAUUAUUAGACACAAAUAUGGUUUAUACAAUUAACAUCAUAGACUAUCAUGCCGCGUACUAACGUCCUUGUAGAAUAAAAGAAUUCUGAUUUUCUCUUCAAUUUUUGAUUAUGGCUUUGAGAACUACAUAUACUUGUAUACUAAUACUAUAUCUUUUGAAAUUCAAAACUAUAUAUACUUAUGUUAUGAAAAAAUGAUUAAUGAACAAAAAAAAUUUCAAAAAGUAAUGGUCAAGUUUCGAAGAAAAACAAAUUAAUGAUUGACAGACACAAAAAGUAAUAAAAUGCAUAUUUAUUUCCUUUUCUCUGGUCGGCAAGAUUGAGUUGAUUUAGGUUUCGCUUUUGAGAAGAUGAUAAAGAACAUGUAAACUAACAAAACCAUUAUAAAAAGAGCUAAGUAAACAUUUUAUUAGUGUAUUAGUUUCGUUAUGUUUUUGUUUAUUUAACAGUUAUGUUUUGAAUUGUGCACUACAACCCUUUGUUUAUGUUAGUAGCGUGGGUGUACUUAAUUACACAAUAUUGGACAUACGUUAAAACGAUAAUUUCAUUAUGACAUUCUGCAUUCAACCAAAAACUUUCAGAGGAACAAAGAAACACGUAAUAAACUUUCAUCGCAGUUUCAGAUUAUGGACCAAAACCUUAACUAUACAUUUGCCAAAUGGAUGUGCUUUCGGUAACGUCUUUGAUUUUUUGUUUUGACAACGUCGCUGAUGGUUUGGUCAAAGACACAAUUUUGUUACAUUUUCUAAUUAAUUGGUAUCAAAACAUGAUCUAUUGUCUUGUGUUUAUCCGAAAUUGAUCUACACAAAAAGAUACCACGUUAGUCAAUAUUUUAAAUUUAUCAACAUAGUGCAUAUGUAAGCUUCUUGAACUGUUUUGGUCAAAUCUUUUUCUAUUUUAUGUAAACGUUACAAAUCAAAACACUCACUCCAGGAUAACUAUCAUCCGAGAGCGAGUAUGUUUAAACAUUAAAUAUAAUUAAGCAAACAUUCUCAUGGAUGGAUAAUGAAAUUGAAAUACACAUAUAUAAUCAAUACCAAAGUCCAUGCUAUUUCUGACAAAGUGACAACCAAAGUUGAGAGACAGAUAUAAUCAAUAUAAAGUUAUUUUGUCUUCGCACACAAAAUUUGGAUUUUUGACUCAUUCUUCGAUAAUAGUUAUUGUUGAGGAUUCAAGAGACGUAGAAUUUGUUUGUUCUUUGUAGCUUUGAUAAUAUUUGUUUCAGAUUCACAUACUUAUUAACGUAAUAUGUAGCCUUGAGUUCGGUAGCACUGAAAUAAAUACUACGAGUAUUUAUAUGGAAAGUCACUAUGUGAAUUAACUAGAAAAGAUGGAGAAAAAGAUAUUCGCUUUCAAGAAUGUCUGACAAAUGUUGACUAAUCCACUGUACAACAUAGCAUACAGUCUUAUAAGCAAGCAAAAGUCGUCAAAGACCAUAGCACUCGUGCAACCUAUUUCACAUCUAUUAGUUUUGGGCAGUCUAUUUUUUUUAUAAGAAAGUAUUAUACUUUCAAACAACCUAUUACGCAACCAUCA